AUUCAUGUCGAGAGACGUGGUUGUAGAAGUCCUUCAACCUGAUGAUGAGCUAAAAGGCUCGAAAUCCGGUCGUUGCAAAACAACUUACUGAUUGCAGCCUGUUACAAGUUUACAAAGAAUCGGAAUGCGCUUGUGUUUGUACCAAUGAUGACGACAAAAAGAAAUGUUUGGCCGAGAGUGGAACAAAGUACUGGAAUGCACAAAAAUGCGAAUGUAACUGUUUGUAUAAAAGUGACUGUUCACAGGCUUUUCUUGGAACAAGCAUACUUCAGUUGUAUGCCAUUGCUAACCCGAAGAACAAAUUGCCAACUGAGCAGUAUUAUCUAAAAAAAUAAAUAAAUAGGCAAUUCGAUAGAAUUUUAUAGGUUAGGAACUGUUAACUGUCAUGAAAAUAUAAUGAUUUAAUGCAUGGCAUUGAAAUUACAGUAGCAUAUUAUGCACAAAACAUGUAAUACUCCCUACUUAUAAGAUGUAAAAAAAUAGCGAUAGGACUGAGGGGAUAAAGACAUUUAUAAGGAAAAGGAAAUAGAACAGAGAGUAAGUGA